rnacentral:hammerhead_ribozyme from 1 species
ACUGGUUGACGAGUCCCAAAUAGGACGAAAUGCGCAUCCUGGAU